GUGGCGAGCGUUCCCGAGCGCGCUCGGCUCCUUCCGCCAGCCCCUCUCGGCCUGACGCGCGGGAGCGGGAGCCGCUGGCCUCUGCUUUAGAGCGCUUUUGCUUUCCGCAUUUUAGGUGUUUACAUCCCAUGACCCAGCAGUCUCUCAAGAACUCAUUCCACAGAAUACAGCCUUCAUAAGGGCAAGAGCUUCCACCCAUUUUGUUCACUGCUGCGGUCCUGAUGCCUGGGACAGCCCUGCUGAGAGAUGAGGAAAGGGGCUCCUCUGGAUGGUCAGGGCCAAGGACUCUGCAGGAGGACGGCUCCUUUCCUGCCUGAUGGACUCGAGGCACGAGGUGACUGCAGGGCCGAGGCACUUCCGUUCUGGAGUGUCCCGCGUUUCCAGUUCGUGGUGUCCUGAACACAUGACCGUAGGCCCCUCUGGCAAAGGCCUGUGGGAAUCCCUCCUGUGUUCACUUGCGCAGGGGCCCCCGAGGACCUACCUUCUCUUUAAUGAGCAGGUUCUAUGGCAGAACACUGGCUCAAGGAUUGAGACUGGGCUCACCACUUCUUCCACCAUCUACGGCACAGGCCUGGCAUUCCAGCUCUACUCUGUGUGGGCCAUAAUUUUCUCCAAAGUUCCAAGAGUCACCGUAGCAGCAUGGUGACACCUCCUCCCAGAGCCCUUGCCAGGCGGUGAAUCACACGUGUCAGGGAGCGGCUCCCAUAUAAAUAAAUUCACACUUAUCCCUCUUUAUCCUUUGCGCCUUAGGAUCCCGUCCUGCAAACCAUUUCCAGCUUGGCCAGUGCAUGAUCCAGCCCCCAUGGGGCAUCUAUUCCCUUUCUCCUGUCAGCAGGCCCAGCUCUUCCUGCCAUGUGCUGUUUGCACUGGACUCUAGUUACUGGUCUGGUGGGAGUGGGAGUUGGGGCAGGUCCUUCCGGGGCCUGUGUUGUUUGGCGAUGCCUCACGUUCAAACAAAGGAUGAGAACAUCCUCACAAAAGGACAGGGCCACCUCUACGGGUCUUCAGGGUGCCCAGCGGGCUUUCAAGGUUUCGAGAGCAUUAACUCAGAUGUCCUAUCCAAUGGUCAGGUCUCACGUGCCCACUGAAGCCCCUGAUGUGGUCACAGAGGACUUGCCGGGGCCGAAGACACAGACUUGUGUGGAGAGCUGCUUUCUCACAGUCGGGUCCAGGCGUCCGCCUCUGCUUUUCUCUCCUCCACCUGCACCUGUAGGAGAUGAGUGUUUAGAUGCCACCAGCCUGGCUUUCUACCUUUCACACUUUCUUUCACUCAGGGAUUCCUAACCCGAGCCUAAGGCAUCAAGGACUCAGGAGGAGUCAUCAGAUCCCAUUCUCAUGAGUGGAACCUUCCCUGAAUCUCUCAGUAGCCUGGGUGUCCCCUGGACCAGCGCUUUCUUUCCCACUUGGAUCCCAUCCCAGUUCAUCACCAGCAUCACCCAUGAUGUGGCUCCUCCAACCAGCCAGGGACUGGCAGGGCCUCACCUGCCACCAGGAACGGGGCUGGGUUUCUAGCUGGCAGGCUGAUGCUGGGCCCCACAAUCCCACAACUGCCCGAGGGAGUGGCCACAAUUCCGUUUUAGAGCCUGUUUCCUCAGAUCACUCCUGGCACCUGACCUCUGAGAGCUGGUGCGCUGGGAAGCAGAUGUGGAGAAGACAGUUUGUGUGAAAUGAGUGUCCUGAGAAGUGACCCUGGUGUCUUCGCCUGUAAAGGAAGAGCAGACAUAACCUGAGCAGAAGCUGAUUGCGGUGGUGGCUGCAACAAGGCCUCAGUCCAUCCCACUGGGGUCUGAGUGGGAGGGCCUUGCAGACUCGUCCUGCCACCAGGGAGGCCCUGGCCCUCUCUCCUCCCUUCAUGGACCAGUCAUGGGGUGCUGUGAACUUGGGCAGGCGGCUCCCUUCACCCAGGCCAGUUCCCGGCCAGGGGCUCAGCAGAGAGCCUGGAGCCACCAACGUUCCCAGCAGCUGAGGGAUGCUGAGGGGGACCUGGGCACCACUGCGGCCACCGCUGUCCCCUUUAAAUACCUCUUGACCUGUCUGCCCCUUCUUGAGCAUUGCCUCUCCCCAGGCUCCAUUCUCGGGCCUUUUCUUCGUUGACUCCCAUUUCUUUGGGGGGAGCAGGGAGCAUGACCCGUGCUCCCCGGCCUUAACCAGCCCUGAGCCUGGGCCCCAGGGUUUCCUGUCUCUCCAGCAUCGCCAGUUUACGCUUCUCUUUGCCCCGCCCCUUGGGACGGCCCACCUCUUGCAUCCUUUGAUCCACCCCCACCCCCCCCACUGCUCCUACACGCGGCCCUCACUGCCUCCCUCCCGGGCUUGCUGUCCACUCAGGCCCCCGGCUCCCGGCAUGGGCGUCACAGCCCUUCGGGAGUGGAAGGGGUCACUUUACAUGCAUGUUUCCUCCCUCCUGUCUCUGUUUCCAGCGUUGCUCUCUCCUGCGUCCCCCAAAGCCAGCCCCUCCGCCUCGCCACUGCUGCUGGGGACACUUCCUCAAUCACAGAUUGUUAUUCACAUAGGAACAGUUGCUGGACGCUUGCCACGGCCUGCCCACAUCACAUUCUGGGCCAGUCAUGGAGCCGCCCCUCCCCCAAUUCCACCUCCCUGAGGUUUUGGAAGGAAAACUAAACAAUGGCUAAAUGAAACCAAGCCCAUUAUCAACGGGUUCCACGUCACGGCUGAUAAUUCCUCGAAAAUCCC